AGGAGUUCAAAGUUUCAAGACUUACUUCUCACUUUUCAGCAAGCACAUUUCACUAUGUUUUCAUCUCAAACUUUCCUCACUGGAAUUCUAACCAACUCCGCCGCAUCGGAAUUCGCCACCUGCGGCGGUGGAGGUGCAAACCACAAAAUUCUUACCUCAUUCCCUUUGUCUCCAUCUCCAUUUUACUAAUUCAUCCUCAAUUUUUCUCGAUUCCUUAACAAUUGUCCUAACCGAAGUAAAUUAAAACAUGAACCCUAAGUUCCAAAACUAAAAUUAAACCAGAAUAAAGUGGAAUCAAAGCCCAAGGUGUGAGGGCUUUGCUUCCACGCAUAUCAGACUACAUGGCGGUAAUGAGAAAGUAGAGAAAUGGAAGCAGAAUCCUACCUACAAGGAGGAGAAGUUCUUCGGUGGUUGUUGAAUUUAAAGGCGACGAUGAAGGCGAAGAGCUGCACAAAAAAUCCUCAGGGCUACUUUAGGCACUAUGAAGGAAUGAGGUCUUGGUCAUGGCAUGGUAUGUUUAGGUGCGUGGAGGCUUCAAACAUCAAAAGGCCAAGUUCAUGCACAUACUUAAAGCAAGGCAAAGUCAAUAGAUCAAAGUGUGGAAUCAAAACAUGGACCAUCAUCAUGAAGAAACUUGAAGACCAAGAUGAAGUGGCUUAUGGAAGAGUAAAGAGGGGGGAAUUAGGGUCUAGGACUAGGUACUUUGACUUUGAUCAAUUGUUGACCAAAAAUUCAACAGUUGACCAAAAGUCAACCCUAGGUUAAUUGGUGUAAAUUUGUGUAGAAUUUGAUUUUUUUGAGGUUGUAAUGAAUAUUUGAAUGUGUGUGUGAUGAAAUGGCCUUUGAAAUGCAAA